rnacentral:lncRNA from 1 species
GGGUGGUAGGGGUGGUAGGGGUGGUAGGGGUGGUAGGGGUGUAUGAUUGUAGGUUUUGUAGGGAUGGUAGGGAUGGUAGGGAUGAUAGGGGUGGUAGGGGUGUAUGAUUGUAGGGAUGGUAGGGUUGUAUGUUGGGAGGGAUGGUAGGGAGGUAUGCUAGUUGGGCCGAUAUGACUGGUAGGGAUUUAAGGAUGUAUCCAGGUAGGGCUGGUUGAGAUAUAUCCUGGAAGGGUUGGUAGGGGUGAUAGGGAUGGUUGGGAGGUAUGCUAGUUGUAAGGAUGUAUACAGGUAGGGCUGGUUGAGAUAUAUCCUGGAAGGGUUGGUAGGGGUGAUAGGGAUGGUUGGGAGGUAUGCUAGUUGUAAGGAUGUAUACAGGUAGGGCUGGUUGAGAUAUAUCCUGGAAGGGUUGGUAGGGGUGAUAGGGAUGGUUGGGAGGUAUGCUAGUUGUAAGGAUGUAUCCAGGU